rnacentral:rRNA from 1 species
GAUGAACGCUGGCGGCGUGCCUAAUACAUGCGAGUCGAGCGAACAGACGAGGAGCUUGCUCCUCUGACGUUAGCGGCGGACGGGUGAGUAACACGUGGAUAACCUACCUAUAAGACUGGGAUAACUUCGGGAAACCGGAGCUAAUACCGGAUAAUAUAUUGAACCGCAUGGUUCAAUAGUGAAAGACGGUUUUGCUGUCACUUAUAGAUGGAUCCGCGCCGCAUUAGCUAGUUGGUAAGGUAACGGCUUACCAAGGCAACGAUGCGUAGCCGACCUGAGAGGGUGAUCGGCCACACUGGAACUGAGACACGGUCCAGACUCCUACGGGAGGCAGCAGUAGGGAAUCUUCCGCAAUGGGCGAAAGCCUGACGGAGCAACGCCGCGUGAGUGAUGAAGGUCUUCGGAUCGUAAAACUCUGUUAUUAGGGAAGAACAAAUGCGUAAGUAACUAUGCACGUCUUGACGGUACCUAAUCAGAAAGCCACGGCUAACUACGUG